CUAACACAUAUGGGAGUCAGGGCAUGGCCUGAAAUCUGCUGUGGUGCAAUGAGGGUGGUGAAGGCUGGUGGCCGGCCAAGGUGGGAUCCUACAGCCUCUACUGUCAGCCAAGGAUACACCACCGGCCCGUCUUGCCUGCUAUUGGUGAAGUGGAGCAGGAGCGCACAUGUAAAUACCCAAAAGAUGGUGAAAUAUGGGCAGGAUGAAGCCAGAGGAAACUCUGCUUGAGGUCAUAGCCCUUCUGACGUCAAGUUGGUCGUCUGACUUAGGUAUUAGGGGUGAGAGGCUAACCUAGUAGCUGG
rnacentral:ncRNA from 1 species